UCUCUCUCUCUCUCUAAUCUGCCUAGAUUGAUUUCGUUUCCAGGUUAUAAUUUUUACGGGGGGCAAAUGCUUCAGAAAAUCUGUGCUGCAUACUGGAAUCAUGUUGUUCAAGGUAAAACCAGCAAAGUUCUCUUUGAUGUUCUUUACAUUAGAUUAACCUGUUUCUUGCAAUAUCCCAAUUUUUUUUUGCCUAUUUUAGUGCAAUAUUUAGAACUGUACUAACCACAGAUUCAGUUUGGAAUUUGAACUAUGUCCCGUCGUUUAUGUUUGAGACACUCGAACAUCCGGAGGCUAGCCCAUAGCCCCAUACUACAUCACCAUAUGUUGUCAUCUUUUGAUCCGAGCAAAUGUUGAAGUAAAAAAAACACCAUUAGUAAGAGAGUAUAUAUGUAUAUUUCAAGAAAGGAUGGGUGAAAUAGCAGGUCAGAGAUGCUACAAUAUACUUUGUUUGUUUGGGUUGGGGAGCCAGCCAGCGCACCGCCUCGUCAGUUUUGCACCGCUGCCAGCGACCGCCGUUCCGUUGCCUUGGAUUCAGGUGUGGUGUUGGCUGGGAACUGUAUGGUGUUUGUCUGACGUGUUGUCCGCACCGGGGAGGGGGGGGGGGUCGGUCGACUCCAGGUAUGAGCACUCCUGAGCUUGAUGGCUGGAUGUGUGCACACAUGUAAUGGGGUAUCAUGGUCACGUUGCUUGGUGUGCAGAGGCGACCCGGCACCGGCACUUGCCCGGCGGUGGGACUUCGCCGUGGCCGGUGGGAGAGUUGGGCGGCAGCAAGCGGUGCGGCGAGGGGAGGCACACGGUCCAGAGGGUGGGACUCUUGCUAGCCGCUCUCCCGUUCCAUUUGGUUUCUUGCGGCCAAGGUGGCGUUUCUCGGAUCGAGCGCCGCUCGUCCUUCUCUUCACUACUUCUCCACAACGCUAGCCCCUCCACCUCUCCUUCCUCCCCCUCGUUGUGUGGUGUCCAUGGGAUGUGCCUAGAUCCAGAUCAGGCGUAGGUUAGGUGAGGCUGAUGGUUGGGUGAAGGAGUAGGGAAAGCGGGCGACGAGGACAGGAAGAAGCCGGCCGUCGUGGUGCAGUGGGGCUGCCGGGAAGGAAGAGGUCGGCUGCGUCCCCGGCGGUGUCGGUGGAGCUGCUCCUCAACGAGAUUCGGCUAUGGAGAGGACCGUGGUGCCAGCGCAGCCUCGCCCCCUCUAGCGCAGCGCAAGAGAUCAGCACACCAUCGAACUGAGAUUAGGCUUCUGUGGUGUUGCUUUGUAUACAGAUGACAUGCUCGCCUCUUGGUUUAAUUUAGGAGUGUAUUUAGAAGCUAAAACUGAACAAUAAUAUCAGUUUAGAGAUGCAGUUGACCAUUUUUCA